GCGCCGAUAGUCUAGUGGUUAUGACAUGGGCCUUCCAAGCCCAUGACCCGGGUUCAAAUCCCGGUCGGCGCA
rnacentral:tRNA from 1 species